rnacentral:lncRNA from 1 species
GAUGGUAAUCGACAUGCAAUUUCUCUGUAUCACUGAUGGCUCAGACAUGCGUAAUCCAGAUCUCUGUUCCACAAAUGGGGGCUUCUAAAACCGGUGCCUCUGGAUUGCUUUAGGCUCCUCUGCAUUUAGUGGCUGCUGUUCUCUGAGGAAGGCAGUAUCAUAGAGGAGCAGGAGCAGUUCAUCCCUCUAAUCUUUCCAGCAGACAAGGCAAUGUGAAAUAAUAUGCAGUCCCAAAUUGGCAAGUUCUCUGACAAGAGAGGUUUGGCUGUGUCAAACCUGCACUUCAGUGACUUCAGAGAAGCAGCUACGUGUUUUACCUCUGCUGAACAGUGCUUGCCUCGUGACUGAGAUUCAUGCUGCUUUCACACGGCAGGAAAGCCAAGCUCAGCCGUGCUGGCUGCUCGCUCCGAGCACAAGUCUGUCAGCUCCGACAGCCAUGGCCAGGGCACCCUGCCCUGCAUUUGCAGUAACUAGGUCACAGAAGAAAUGGCUUUUGUGA